rnacentral:rRNA from 1 species
AUUGAACGCUGGCGGAAUGCUUUACACAUGCAAGUCGAACGGCAGCACGGGUGCUUGCACCUGGUGGCGAGUGGCGAACGGGUGAGUAAUGCGUCGGAACGUGCCGAGUAAUGGGGGAUAACGCAGCGAAAGUUGUGCUAAUACCGCAUACGCCCUGAGGGGGAAAGUGGGGGAUCGCAAGACCUCACGUUAUUCGAGCGGCCGACGUCUGAUUAGCUAGUUGGUGGGGUAAAGGCCUACCAAGGCGACGAUCAGUAGCGGGUCUGAGAGGAUGAUCCGCCACACUGGGACUGAGACACGGCCCAGACUCCUACGGGAGGCAGCAGUGGGGAAUUUUGGACAAUGGGGGCAACCCUGAUCCAGCCAUUCCGCGUGAGUGAAGAAGGCCUUGGUGUAAGUACGUCUUUCUAG